rnacentral:rRNA from 1 species
AGCGAACGCUGGCGGCAGGCCUAACACAUGCAAGUCGAACGAACUCUUCGGAGUUAGUGGCGGACGGGUGAGUAACACGUGGGAACGUGCCUUUAGGUUCGGAAUAACUCAGGGAAGCUUGUGCUAAUACCGAAUGUGCCCUUCGGGGGAAAGAUUUAUCGCCUUUAGAGCGGCCCGCGUCUGAUUAGCUAGUUGGUGAGGUAAAGGCUCACCAAGGCGACGAUCAGUAGCUGGUCUGAGAGGAUGAUCAGCCACAUUGGGACUGAGACACGGCCCAAACUCCUACGGGAGGCAGCAGUAGGGAAUCUUGCGCAAUGGGCGAAAGCCUGACGCAGCCAUGCCGCGUGAAUGAUGAAGGUCUUAGGAUUGUAAAAUUCUUUCACCGGGGACGAUAAUGACGGUACCCGGAGAAGAAGCCCCGGCUAACUUCGUG